CCGAGCNACGCCGCGNUGAAGGAUGAAGGCCCUCGGGUCGUAAACUUCUAAAAGAGGGACGAUAGUGACGGUACCUCUUGAAAAGCACCGGCUAACUCCGUGCCAGCAGCCGCGGUAAUACGGAGGGUGCAAGCGUUAUCCGGAAUCACUGGGCGUAAAGGGCGCGUAGGCGGUCUGUUAAGUCCGAUGUUAAAGACUGGGGCUCAACCCCAGCAUUGCGUUGGAUACUGGCAGGCUUGACGGUUGGAGAGGCGAGUGGAAUUACCAGUGUAGCGGUGAAAUGCGUAGAUACUGGUAGGAACACCCAUUGCGAAGGCAGCUCGCUGGACAACACGUGACGCUGAGGCGCGAAAGUGUGGGGAGCAAACCGGAUUAGAUACCCGGGUAGUCCACACCCUAAACGAUGCACACUUGGUGUUGGCCCGUUGGGGUCAGCGCCGGAGCUAACGCGUUAAGUGUGCCGCCUGGGAAGUACGGCCGCAAGGUUG
rnacentral:rRNA from 1 species